rnacentral:rRNA from 1 species
AGUCUGCAACUCGACUACAUGAAGCUGGAAUCGCUAGUAAUCGCGGAUCAGAAUGCCGCGGUGAAUACGUUCCCGGGUCUUGUACACACCGCCCGUCACACCAUGGGAGUCAGUAACGCCCGAAGCCGGUGACCCAACCUAUCAGGAGGGAGCCGUCGAAGGCGGGACGGAUGACUGGGGUGAAGUCGUAACAAGGUACC